rnacentral:rRNA from 1 species
GGGGAAUAUUGCACAAUGGGCGCAAGCCUGAUGCAGCGACGCCGCGUGGGGGAUGACGGCCUUCGGGUUGUAAACCUCUUUCAGUCACGACGAAGCGCAAGUGACGGUAGUGACAGAAGAAGCACCGGCCAACUACGUGCCAGCAGCCGCGGUAAUACGUAGGGUGCGAGCGUUGUCCGGAAUUACUGGGCGUAAAGAGCUCGUAGGUGGUUUGUCGCGUUGUCCGUGAAAACUCACAACUCAAUUGUGGGCGUGCGGGCGAUACGGGCAGACUAGAGUACUGCAGGGGAGACUGGAAUUCCUGGUGUAGCGGUGGAAUGCGCAGAUAUCAGGAGGAACACCGGUGGCGAAGGCGGGUCUCUGGGCAGUAACUGACGCUGAGGAGCGAAAGCGUGGGGAGCGAAC